rnacentral:rRNA from 1 species
AGUGAACGCUGGCGGCAGGCCUAACACAUGCAAGUCGAACGGCAGCACAGUAAGAGCUUGCUCUUACGGGUGGCGAGUGGCGGACGGGUGAGGAAUACAUCGGAAUCUACUUUUUAGAGGGGGAUAACGUAGGGAAAAUUACGCUAAUACCGCAUACGACCUACGGGUGAAAGCAGGGGAUCUUCGGACCUUGGGUGAUUGAAUGAGCCGAUGUCGGAUUAGCUAGUUGGCGGGGUAAAGGCCCACCAAGGCGACGAUCCGUAGCUGGUCUGAGAGGAUGAUCAGCCACACUGGAACUGAGACACGGUCCAGACUCCUACGGGAGGCAGCAGUGGGGAAUAUUGGACAAUGGGCGCAAGCCUGAUCCAGCCAUACCGCGUGGGUGAAGAAGGCCUUCGGGUUGUAAAGCCCUUUUGUUGGGAAAGAAGAGCAGCAGGUUAAUACCCCGCUGUUCUGACGGUACCCAAAGAAUAAGCACCGGCUAACUUCGUG